GGACAAGCUCCCGCCGCAGCGCCGAGCCCCGCCGCCGCCGCCGCGCACAGAUCCAGGAGUAAGAAGAAAACGCCCAGGGACGGCCAGAGCCGGAGAGAGCUGCUUGAUGACACAGAGCUCCCCCCUGCGCCCGCCCCCCCUCCCACAGACGACUCCCUGCAGCUCCUGGCCGACGUUUUGAGCCGAAGCCGCGGAGACGGCGAGAGGAAGGAGAGCAGCAUGUCGCCCCCUGUCCAGAGGAGGGGGGAGCAUUUCUCACCCCAGAGGAGAGGCUCCACAAAGUGGUCGUCACAAGAUGAGAAUGUAAUCCCGUACGGACAGUCCGGCUUCCUGCCCAAGGUCCAGAUGUCGGGCUACGGCUCCCUGGGCGGGGGGGUCUUUCCACGGCCCUCCACGGCCGGUCGGCGGAGAGACGAGAACCUGAUGUAGACAGACGGCGGCGGCGGCGGCGGCGGCGGCGGCGUGACGUGACGUUCUCCUUUUUCCUCCCUGGACUCCUAUCUGUGCGAACCAUCAAUCUGUUGCCAUGGUAUCUUAUGAAAAACUGAAGACAAAAGGGAAAGAAAGCUUAGAGGCUUGCCAUCUGCCUUCUCGCAAACUAUUUGUAAUCUUUUUAUUUUAUUUGAUUUGAUUUGAUUUGAUUUGAACGAUUCAGUCUAUUUUCUGUGAUUUCCUCCACCUCUCCUCUGUGUAUAUAGACAUCUUUACAGUUUUUUAAAAGAUGUGAUCAGAUAUAUUACUAAAAAUUAAACCGUUGGGGGGGAAAUAUUGUAUUUUUAGGAAAUGGGAAGCAGAUGUAAGUAUUCCAUAGAUGUACAGCAGAUUACUGAAUGUAUCUUCUGUUUGCUCCUGACCAUGAAACCAUGAUGUCUGAGGAAAGACGGCAAAAGACAUGAGUCGGAAAAUGUGUUAAUAAACCAUCAUGUUGGUGUGUGUGUGUAUGUCUGUGUGUGUUGCUGUUUUUAUCUUUCAUCUCUGUGUGGCUGUGUACUGUGGUACUCCAGUAGAUCACCAGUGUGUUCAUUUUUAAACUUAUCAAUAAAGCAUUUGUUACAAAAAUGUCUCCAUUCAUGUGUGAAAGUUACUAAAUAGGACAGAAGGAGCGAGGCUGAGGCGGCGGGGCUGUGUGUGUGUGUGUGUGUGUGUGUG
rnacentral:lncRNA from 1 species